UGAAUACGAGAUGCUACGGCGUCGAAGCAGUCUAUGUCAUACUUCCAAGAAAAGCUUGCACUGUCAUAAACAAAUAAUGCCUGUACCAUAACCGACACAGGUGGGUAGGUAGAGUAUACUAAGGGGCGCGAGAUAACUCUCUCUAAGGAACUCGGCAAAAUGACUCCGUAACUUCGGGAGAAGGAGUGCCUUAUUUAUAAGGUUGCAAUAACAAGAUCCAAGCAACUGUUUACCAAAAACACAGGUCUCCGCUAAGUCGUAAGACGAUGUAUGGGGGCUGACGCCUGCCCAGUGCCAGAAGGUUAAAGAAGUUGGUUAGCAUCCGCGAAGCUGAUAACUGAAGCCCUGGUGAACGGCGGCCGUAACAAUAACGGUCCUAAGGUAGCGAAAUUCCUUGUCGGGUAAGUUCCGACCCGCACGAAAGGCGUAAUGAUUUGGAUACUGUCUCGGAGAGGGGCUCGGUGAAAUAGACUUGUCUGUGAAGAUGCGGACUACCUGCACCAGGACAGAAAGACCCUAUGAAGCUUUACUGUAACCUGAAAUUGAAAUUGGACUUUACUUGCGCAGUAUAGGUGGGAGGCGUUGAGAAUAUUCUUGCGGGAUUAUUGGAGCCAUCAGUGAGAUACCACUCCUGUAAUGUUAGAUUUCUAACUUUGUAUCAUUAUCUGGUCAAAGAACAGUUUCAGGCGGGCAGUUUGACUGGGGCGGUCGCCUCCUAAACGGUAACGGAGGCGCACAAAGGUUUCCUCUGAACGGGUAGAAAUCGUAUCUAGAGUGUAAAGGCAUAAGGAAGCUUGACUGUGAGACCUACAAGUCGAGCAGGGACGAAAGUCGGUCUUAGUGAUCUGACGGUGCUGAGUGGAAAGGCCGUCACUCAACGGAUAAAAGUUACUCUAGGAUAACAGGCUGAUCUCCCCCAAGAGUUCACAUCGACGGGGAGGUUUGGCACCUCGAUGUCGGCUCAUCGCAUCCUGGGGCGGUAGUACGUCCCAAGGGUCGGGCUGUUCGCCCAUGAAAGCGGUACGCGAGCUGGGUUCAGAACGUCGUGAGACAGUUCGGUCCAUAUCCGGUGUAGGCGUUAGAAUAUUGAGAGGAGCCUUCUUUAGUACGAGAGGACCGAGAAGGACAUACCUCUGGUGUACCAGUUAUCGUGCCAACGGUAAACGCUGGGUAGCUAUGUGUGGAGUGGAUAACCGCUGAAAGCAUCUAAGUGGGAAGCCCACCUCAAGAUAAGUAUUCU
rnacentral:rRNA from 1 species